rnacentral:siRNA from 1 species
GAGGAAUACCAUGGGUUGCUUGG